CGUAAUAAUAGAAACUAACCAGGAUUCCCUUAGUAACGGCGAGUGAACUGGGAUACCAACACACCAAUAUGCACUCUGUGCAUAAUUUAGCCCGUCGAUACUAUCCUAGCAUAUCACCGGUCUCGGCCGGUAACCCAAUAUGCGGGAAUUGUAGCAUCGUAAUAAAAAAAAUAUAUAUGCUGUGCACACACACACACACGCCCUGUGCCAUGCGUACGUGACCUUGUAAACACACAGCGUCUCCGCGUUGGAAAGCAAGUAUAUAUCCUCUUUGGAUAUGCCAUAGAGUGUGACAGCCACGUUUGACUCACUCCACACGUUACGCGCACACACACCCAUUGCACACACACAUUAUAUAUAUUUCUAUAACCUGAGUCGAGUUAUUU
rnacentral:rRNA from 1 species